CUGGUCACCAAUUUUCCAGCGAGCGACGUUCUUGCCGACGGCCUCGACGGUGCCAGAGCAUUCGAGGCCGGGGAAUUCGCUGGCGCCCUUGGGCGGCGGGUGAAGGCCCUUCCGCUGGAGCGUGUCGGCCCUGUUGAGCGCUGCCGCCGCAAUUCGGAUCAGAACGUCGUUGUCUCCCACCUCCGGGUCGUCCACCUCCAACAAUUGCAGGACCUCGGGACCGCCGAGGCAGGUGAUUACUAUGGCCUUCAUUGCAAUUUGCGGCGGUUCACAGAAUCACGGCGUCCAGAAGAUGAAAAUCGGUGAGGUUGGAGAAGUCGAACACGUCUGUGACACACUCACUCCUGCAAUUAUUU
rnacentral:lncRNA from 1 species